GGCUAUGGCCAUGCCACCUUGAACAUGCCUGAUCUUGUCUGAUCUCAGAAGCUAAGCAGGGUCAGGCCUGGUUAGUACUUGGAUAGGAGACCACCUAGGAAUAUCAGCUGCUGUAGGCA
rnacentral:rRNA from 1 species